ensembl:processed_transcript
AAUGCAGGCAGACACUCUGGCAAUCUUCGUCAAACUCUGUGGUGGCGUUGGCGUCCUAGAGCUCCGGAGUUGCUUACCCUUCCUGUAAGGGCAAUCGGACCCUUUCCGGCAUGUGACAUAAUUAUCCCAGCGAUCACUAAAACUGUAAAUUUGGAUGCAAUUAAGAGAGAAAACUCCACACAUUUAUGGAAAUUUAAGUGAUGGAAUGUAAUCCAGAAUGUACUUUUUUAUUUCUGAAAUCUCUGUAAAACAGUACAAUAGAAAAAUAAAAACUAAAGACAUAAUUGAGGAAAUCCAACAUCCCAAAAAAAAAAGGAAUUCUAGAAAGCACAAGUCUCAAUCACCUGAAUAGAGACCACUACGGGGAAUGUCUCAGGCUAUACUACCAGCAUCUUUGGACUUUAUUUCCCACUGACAUAGAUUUAAAAAUACUUCAUGGACAUAAAUGUGGAAACACAAGAUCAUCCAAGGAGUCAUCACAUUAGAAAAUGGCUAUUCAACGAUGUCUGCUGUUGUUCAUCAGGCAAGCAUUUGUGUAAUGAGACUAUGGAGAGCACGAUAAGCCAAUUUUCCAGUGUAUAUCAUAUUUCAUCGAAAACAAAAC